GCACUGCUGAGGAGUCCCGUAAUAGGACGACACGAUCGUCAAGUGC
rnacentral:hammerhead_ribozyme from 1 species